rnacentral:tRNA from 1 species
GGAGAUGGAGCUCAGUUGGUAGAGUGCUUGUUUAGCAAGUAUGAAGUCCUGGGUUCUAUCCCCAGCACCA